AUCCUAUAAUAUUACGCAUAUACUAAAUAUACAUAUUGUGAAGAGAAAAAAUCAUAGAUUUGACUAAAAUCCUGAACCUGAAAUCAGUUAGCCGUCAACAGCGGCAGUGUGUGUGUGUGUGUGUGGGCGUGGUGCGUACAAUAUUAUUGUUGUCAGUAUAGUGGAUGAACUGUGUGCACUGUAUGGUUGAAUAAUGGCGGAGCGGACCAAAGUGACGGCCCUGGUUAACCGGCCUGUGCCAAUGAAAUUAUUUGCUACUUGGGAAGUUGAUCGUACACCUCCUAACUGCAUACCAAGGUUAUGCACAUUGACAUUGACGAGACUCGUGAUACUCCGGCCUUUGGGUGCUGAUUUGGCUUCAAUCAGUAUUGCCGUCAAAAUGCAAAGUUCUAAAAGAACAUUACGCUCCAAUGAAAUGUCAAUACAACCUGGAGGAAUGCUUGACACAGAAUUGGAAUUGCAAUUUGCCCUGCAGUAUCCACAUUUUCUCAAGAGGGAUGGUAAUAAGUUGUUAAUUCUAUUACAGAGGAGGAAAAGAUACAAAAAUCGAACCAUGUUGGGAUUUAAGACUUUGGCUGAAGGUGUUGUUAACAUGGCACAGGUUUUGCAGAAGCAAAUGGAUCUUGAAUUGGAACUUGUCUCAGAUAAAGCCGAAAAAUACGGUGGAUCAUCAGUUGUAUUGGCAAAAAUUAGUGUUGUUGCGCUUUGCUCGCAGCCAGUUGAUCAGGAUAAAAGGCUAAUAAAUGACGCAAGUGAGCGACUGUGUCCCGAGUACAGUGACGACGAGGAGGAAUUUAGUUCAGAGGGUGAAGCUGAAGGCAGUGAUUCUGAACCCACGCUAGAGGUACAUCGACGAAAAAGCCGAACAAAAAUACCUGCUAAUGCAAGGCAAAGAAAUUUAAAGCAAAAAUUUAUUGCUCUAUUAAAACGAUUUAGAGUAUCAGAGGAAUUGGAACACGAUCAAGAGGAAAUUGGUCAAAAAUUAUCAGGCGGAGAUAUGGAAAUUGAAGAGCUUUUUGACGAGUUGGAAGAUCUAUCGGACAGUGGUCCAGAAUUGGACACAAUGUCUGUGAGUAGCACACCAAAACCCUCCCUCCGACCAUUCUUCAGUUCUAGUCGAUCUCUCUUGGCGCCGCCAAAUAAUGUAGUUACCAAGGAGGAAAGUGGAACGAAUUCAACGCAAAUUACGACAGUGUCACAGCCAACAACUGGACAGGCUAUUAAAGAGAAGUCACGUGUCGGACACACUACACCAGAAAGGUGUACAGACAGGCAGAGUGAUGACAGCUCAAGACGCGCAGACAGUGACUCACAUCCAGAAAACUGGACCGAUCAUGAGGCAAACGAUGGGCCAAAUGCAGUGACAGGAUCGCCUCCAAAAUUUGAAGGACAGCAUGGUAAUAAAAACGAAAAUAAUGACAGGAAGGGUCGUCUUUUUGCCAGAGAUCGAGGAACCCCAGGGAGUAACAAGUCUAAGAAGCAUAGUCUCAGUGUUGAUCUGAAGCCUCCAACGGAAUUGAAUAGUUUAGAACCGAGGAAAGCAUUGGUAGAGCAGUUGGUGCGAGUUUUGCCAGAUGAUUGUCUGCCAGAGUCCAUAGCUAUUGUGUCAUUGGCAGAUACAGGUGGUGCUGUACUAGCAGCUCGUCUUCAAGAGCGCAAUAUCAGAGUAUUAACUAGUGCAUCACCAGCAGAUAUUCGUGCAACAUUUACCUGUUUGAUAGCGAGGAUACAAAAAUUCUGUAACAGUUCUGCAAAGCCACCAUCUCCAAUAAGAAUAGUGAUUGCCGGUGGUGACGGGUUUGUUAAUGCUAUACUGAAACAUUAUGUGGACCUUUUGAGUUUUCGACCACCAGAUUGGCAGAAUUAUUUGAGAUUUCUGAUUGUGCCACUCGGAUCAAAUACAUUAUCCAAAUACCUAGCUUCUGUUGACAACAAGUACUCGAUGCUAUUUGGUGAUGAAUGGAAGGAAUUAUUAGAGCGCGAGAUAGGAGGGGCUGCGGAAGGAGCCGCUAGGGUUUCUGAGUACCUUGCCAAUGUUGGCCCGACAUUAUUAUUACCAAUUGCUGAAGCAAUGGUAACAUAUAGAGAGACAGAUGAUAGUAGUCAAAUAUUCAUUCCAUUUGUUAACGACGUGCGUGUUGGCUGUCCUGAAAGCAGUGCCUCAGCUUCUGUUGACCUUGAAGAAGGUGGAAUUGCAAUGUCGGGUUCUCCACCUUCUUUGCCGCCAACGUGCCUUUCAAUUGUGCCACCUCCUGGAAGAUUAACGCCACCCAGCAGUCCAAAUGUCAGUCAGCCACGUGAUGGAUGGGAACCAGUUGAAUUACAGUUGGAUUACUGGAGCAAAUCUACUUUAGGGGAUAAAGGAAAAUGUACGCUGAGGCAAGCCUUCCGUGCCCUUCACGUUCAAAGGUUACCCACUGUGGGAGAAAAUCCUGGACAAUAUCUGUCAAUGAAUUACACAACCAAAGAGAAAAAACAGAAAAUUAUGAGAUUGGGUAAAAAAAAAGAAAAGGAGAAAGAAAAUGAGCCGAAGAAUCAAACCGUGGAUGGUGUGACCAGAUUAAUUUGUUCGGCAAAAACCCACAUUCCUUUGAGAGUGACAAUCGAUGGAACUGAGUGGUAUGGAGUUAAAUUCUUCCAACUAUCAGCACAAUGGCAGACGCAUAUUAAAAAUUUUCCAGUUUCCAUGUUAGUUUACAGUCAGCUUCAACAACAAACCACUAAUUUUACGUAAAAAAAAAAAUUUGAAACUUCAUAUAUUGAAGAGCACAAAAAAAAUGCUAAUUAUUCCAUUAAAUUAUUUAGAGUUUAGAAACAUUUGUUAAAUUAUUGGUAUACGAAUGCCCAAGCUGAUAAAAAUUUAAGAAAAUACGGCGUUCAUUCACCACGUUGCUGUAUUUACCGUGCUUUCCUGUUAGUGUUCAAUUUCAGUGGGGUAAUAAUUUCAAUGGCAAUCAAUGUUGGAUUGAGGAAAAUAUAUUUAUGCAUAGAUACACAUUUGAAAGAGGCAGUAAAAGGACGGAAUUUUUUCACAGAUCAAUGCUAAUUAUGGAAAUCGCAAGCAGAACUUAGUGAUAAAGUAACAUAUUACCGACAAAUAAUAGCCAUGUACGUUUAAGACUGCGGCCGAAAUAUUAUAUUAGAAAUUAAUGUUUAAUCUCUAUCCACAUUUCCGAUCAAUUUUUAAUUAGUGUAACCACCGAUUACUUAUUAUUCAACUGAAUAUCCGAUCAUAUAAUGCACACAAAUCAUAUCCAACUUUAGUUUUUCUCAAUAAAGUUUUGCAACACCUGUAAUUUCAAUGACAGCAAUAGUACUAUAUGUAAUUUUAUGAAUAUUGCCAUUGAAUUUUUCCUUACAAUGUGCCUGGCCAUCACGCCGUCACUGGUUCUAGUCGUGAAUGAAAACUAUAACAUUUUUUAAUGUAAAUUAAAAUUCCACUUGAUUGAAAAUUAUUUCAAGUCUAUUAGAUCUGACAAGUACAUGGUUUUUUUUUCCUAUUUCAUCACCACUGAUAUAAUUCUACCUUCUCAUCAGUUGAACUGUCGUGUGAUGCGGUAGCAUUAUAAAGUUUAAUAAUAAGUGAUUAAAGGAGGCAUGUCCAGCUCAAUGCUUACAAUAAUUGAAGACUUAUGUGGUAAUAUACAGAUUAUUGAGGUGAUUGAUUGCAUUAAAAAAACAAUAUAAAUAAAAGGGUCUCGAAUUGUUCACAGCAUUACCUAUCUUUUCUGUGCUUACAAGAGGAGGCCCACAAAGUGUGUUUGCGUGGGUGCAUAAUACUGUAACUAUAUAUAUAUAUAUUGAGAAAAGGGGCCGGGGGGAGGGGCAAAGGUACGAGAGAGUUGAAUUAAAAUGGCUUGCUUAUGGUAAAACAAUUUCAACCAGUUCGUUGAUAAAUGUCAUUUGUAAGAAAUUUUAUUACCUUGAAAGUCCUUGAUCGCUGAACGGACCCGUCAAAUGAUUUUUCAUACUCAUUAGACUCUAAAAAAUCCAAGUCGUACUAUUAUAAAAAUAAUUAAAAAGUAACUGUUGUUACAUACGGUCUAUUUUAGAGAAAAUAGACCGCCCCUCCCCCUCAGUGACCAAUGAUUUUCAAGUUUCAUCACGGCUCUCCGUCAAACUCAAAUUUUGAAAUCAAAGUUACAUAUCACGGGUAUACUUUCUAUUCCGCAAAAGACAUGCGUGAAUGUUUUACAAUUAGGAAAUUUUCUGCGGCAGUAGAAUAGAUUAUCUACCAAAUGUAUGGUGAGAAUAAACCAUUUAUAGGUGUAAUGAAUAGUAAAAAAUAUAUAUCCAAUUGUGCAAUAUUUGUUGUGCAUUAAAUCAUGUCAUUAUUUGUUUCGGACGACCUUAUUAAUUGAUCAAUGGCAUAAACGAAAAGAGAGUAUAAAACCGAUAGUGAAGCCAAUUUUAAUUUAACUCCACAUUGUUUGUAUGAUGAAGGAGAGGGGAUGUUGGAUAUUUAAAUGUGAUAUGUACUUUUAAAUAUAUAAUAUUUGAAUGUCAAAUAUUAUUUAUUCAUAAUUAGAUUAGAUUCAAUUUUAAGCCGUGUCCUGAGCUUAUGAGUACACUUGAUGAUCGUCUUUCAUUACAAUAUGUAUAUUCUUGUUUCUAUGUACUGUGAACAAGUGAAUUUUGCAAGAUCCUUUGACAUACAAGAUAUACUUUUAAUAAAUAAAAAGCUCAAGGUACAAAUAGAGGCAAUUAGGAAAUUCAUUAGCCUAUUAAUUAUGAAAAUAAUUAAAAAGGAAUUGUUGUUAAAUACGGUCUAUUCUCGAGAAAGUAAUAUGGUUUCAAUGCUGUUAAUUGAGGGACAAAUGGGCAAAACAGUGAAGAAGUAAUGAAGACUAUGAUGCUGGAUGAAAAAAAUUUUAAUGGAGUGAAGAUCAACAGUUAAAUCAUAAUCAUAUUAAUGUUUUUGGGCUUGAAAUAUAAAUGUAAUGCAUUCUUCAAUUAUGCUGUAAAUAUCAUUUGAUAGAAUAAAAGAUUGUGUUGUUGCAAGGCA